rnacentral:rRNA from 1 species
GACGAACGCUGGCGGCGUGCCUAAUACAUGCAAGUCGAGCGGACGGAUGGGAGCUUGCUCCCAGGCCGUCAGCGGCGGACGGGUUAGUAACACGUGGGCAACCUGCCUGUAAGACUGGGAUAACUCCGGGAAACCGGGGCUAAUACCGGAUAACUCUUUCCCUCACAUGAGGGAAAGCUGAAAGAUGGCAUCUCGCUAUCACUUACAGAUGGGCCCGGGGCGCAUUAGCUAGUUGGUGAGGUCACGGCUCACCCAGGCGGCGAUGCGUAGCCGACCUGAGAGGGUGAUCGGCCACACUGGGACUGAGACACGGCCCAGACUCCUACGGGAGGCAGCAGUAGGGAAUCUUACGCAAUGGAGGAAAGUCUGACGGAGCAACGCCGCGUGAGUGAUGAAGGUUUUCGGAUCGUAAAACUCUGUUGUCAGGGAAGAACAAGUACCGGAGUAACUGCCGGUACCUUGACGGUACCUGACCAGAAAGCCACGGCUAACUACGUG